CCUACGGGGGGCAGCAGUGAGGAAUAUUGGUCAAUGGACGAGAGUCUGAACCAGCCAAGUAGCGUGAAGGAUGACUGCCCUAUGGGUUGUAAACUUCUUUUAUAAAGGAAUAAAACGAGCCACGUGUGCGUUUUUGCAUGUACUUUAUGAAUAAGGAAUGGCUAACCUCGUGCCAGCAGGCGCGGUAAUACGGGGGAUCGGAGCUUUUGCCGGAUUUAUUGGGUUUAAAGGGAGCGUCAAUGGGUUGUUAAGGCAGUUGUGAAAGUUUGCGGCACAAACGUAAAAUUGCAAUUGAUACUGGCAGUCUUGAGUACAGUUGAGGUAGGCGGAAUUCGUGGUGUAGCGGUGAAAUGCUUAGAUAUCACGAAGAACCCCGAUUGCGAAGGCAGCUUACUAAACUGUGACUGACAUUGAUGCUCGAAAGUGUGGGUAUCAAACAGGAUUAGAUACCCGAGUAGUC
rnacentral:rRNA from 1 species